GGAGUAGGAAGACGGAACACUGGCCUUGCUGGGCUUCUCCGUGCAGGGGUCUCGGGGAGGGAGGAUGCGUAUCUUGCAGAAACCAACCCACCCCCACCUCUCUCCCAACCCCAGUACAUCCCGUUUGGGCGUGUAUUUAACACAAAGAUCCCAGGUCCUGAAACUGGAUUUCUGUGACCUGAGAGUUUGUUUAUAGUGACUUUUGAUGAGUCUCUUAAAAUAGAUCUUCAUCCUCUUGCAUCAUCUGUCGUUUUAGAAAACGAUUUAUUUACUGAGGUGGGUCGGCAGCAUGGUGUAUUUUAGUGAGACUCUCCGGGCCCGGCCAGGACUGGGGGCGGGGGAGGGGAUAAGGAGGCUUAAAGCCACAGGCUAGGGGAUCAGAUUGAGCCUGUGACGCGUCCACCAGACUGUACGCCGGCCGUCGGGGAGCCUGCCCUCACCACCAGGCAGGAGGUGCCCUGGGAUGGCUGUUGUGGGGCCUGGACACGGUGAGUUUUGUUACAUGAACAGCAUUGGCUGUUUCCUUGCUGUUUCCAAAUCUUUUUACUGACCUGAGUGUUUGUUCUCAGAUAUCCUUAUAGUAUUUUGUCAAAAAACAAUAAUUUGAAAAUAACUUUAGCCUCAUUACUCUCAUGCUGUGGGAUUUUUGCCUCUUUUUGUCAGGCCCUGUAAGAAAUGCACUGUGUUAAGUCACUAUAGCACUGCGCAGUGCACUUUAAGUCAUUAUAACACCAUACGGUGCCCUCCGUUAAGUCACUAUAGCACCAUACGGUGCCCUCCGUUAAGUCACUAUAGCACCAUACGGUGCCCUCCGUUAAGUCACUAUAGCACCACGCAGUGCACUUAAAGUCACAUUUUGUGCCCACAGGGUUUGUAAGUUCCAGUAGCCCCAAACCCCUCAUCUACAGAGAUUUUAGUCUCCAGGACACCCAGAGAGUGUGGGGCAUGGACCCCCAGGCCCCGCUGUCUCCUGGUCCUGAAUCCUGCCCGGUUUGUGUCUCCCCUGCAGGUGGGUCGUUAACCAAGCUGGCCUACUAUUCAACGGUACAGCACAAAGUCGCCAAGGUGCGGUCUUUCGACCACUCCGGAAAGGUGAGCCUGCCCUGUGGCCACCCGGGGCAGGGCCAGCCGCUUCUCUGUCGUCUUGGACCUGGCACUUGUCUCGCAGUCAUCCCUCUGCUGCUGCAGACCUCGACUUCAGUGUCCUGGGAGUUUCUAGCAGGGACAGCCUCCCCUGCCUUCCGCCGUGUCCCUUCAAGACCCUUUGUAGGAACCUGCGCCUGCCUGUGCUCCCCCGGGGGAGGCUUCCGCUCCUGCUGGGUGGCCCUGAGGUCGCCACCGUCCUGGGCUCCUCCCUCUUGCCCAG
rnacentral:lncRNA from 1 species